AUUUGACCUCAAUCAGGUAGGACUACCCGCUGAACUAAGCAUAUCAAUAGGCGGAAGGAA
rnacentral:rRNA from 1 species